CAAAAAUGAAAUAGCUUAUAUUGGCUUUCUGCUACUUCCCAGCAGGUAAUCUCACUCAUAAUUCCUUUGCAUCUAGACACGGCGGGAGAAGAUUGACAGCAUUGAAAAGCAUGUCAACACUGCUGCUGUGAAUGUUAAAGAGAGAACCAAAAACCUGGGGAAGACACUGUUACAGUCUGAGUGCGGAUAGCAGUAGUGGUACUGAGCUGUAAAGUCCGUUGUGUGGGAAAUAGACGAGAUGCUGGUCAGACGACUUAUGUUGAGCGACAUGGUAAGUCCCUUUAAACUCUUGAUGAGAGGCUGCUGUAGUGUGACACCCUGACCGGCACAUUUAAGCGAGGGAUAAGAAACAAUUUCAGAAUUAUCUCUAUGAAGUUUUUUACACUGUAGUUUUACCCUUAUUGAUGGUCCGGCGGUGCAAUCGGGGAGUACCUGAUUGACGCAGACUGGAGGGUUUUCAAACAUUUGAGUUUGCUGUGGUAUGCUGGCACUGAACUAGUUAACCCUCACGCUUCAAUCCUCUCUGCUUCCCCCUCCCCUGACUAGAGUAACAGAACGUGAACGUACUGACAGUCAGUUGAAGGGAGAGGGGCGUGCCUAGUAGGAAAUGUGUUACAAUUGUAGCCGAGAUCAUAGAGUCCGGGACUGACAGCCGCGAUGAUACACAACUUUGUAGCGUUUCAGCUUAUCUACAUCACUCUCGUAAUCUCACUGUGGUACUUUUAAUACACCAUACCAGCUCGAUCCUAUGUCUGCGAUCCAGCCCAGCCAGAGAUCAGUGGUAUAGUAUAUCACUUUUAAACAUUAACACUUGAUACUUACACCGUAUAAAGUCACAAAUAAUCACGUAUGCUCUGCUAUGAUGCUUCUAAUAGUUUUUAUAUGAUUACACUAUAACUAAAGUUUGAUAUUUUUUACACGUAAUUUUGACAUUUGUAUUUGGGCACUAUUUGAUGAUGUCAUUAUUGUUUGAUUUUGGCGCCAAUUUUAACUGCUUUUAAAGCGCUUCACUCUGUGUGUUAAUUUCUUUUGCUCCUGAUGACGGCUCCAGUUUGGUAGCCGAAACUUCGAAUAAACCACAUCUUUUUGCAUUUUCACAA